rnacentral:rRNA from 1 species
CCUACGGGUGACAGCAGUAGGGAAUAUUGGUCAAUGGACGAGAGUCUGACCCAGCAAAGUAGCGUGAAGGAUGACUGCCCUCGGGGUGUAAAACUUCUUUUAUAAAGGAAUAAAACGAGGCACGUGUGCCUUUUUCCAUGUACUUUAUGAAUAAGGAUCGGCUAACCCCAUGCCAGCAGCCGCGGUAAUACGGAGGAUCCGAGCGUUAUCCGGAUUUAUUGGGUUUAAAGGGAGCGUAGAUGGGUUGUUAAGUCAGUUGUGAAAGUUUGCGGCUCAACCGUAAAAUUGCAAUUGAUACUGGCAGUCUUGAGUACAGUUGAGGUAGGCGGAAUUCGUGGUGUAGCGGUGAAAUGCGUAGAUAUCACGAAGAACACCGAUUGCGAAGGCAGCUUACUAAACUGUGACUGACAUUGAUGCUCGAAAGUGUGGGUAGCAAACAGGAUUAGAUACCCCUGUAGUC